rnacentral:rRNA from 1 species
CAUGUAGGCGGCAUGACAAGUCUGGUGUGAAAUAUCUCGGCUCAACCGAGAAAACGCACUGGAAACUAUCAAGCUUGAGUAUCGGAGGGGAAGCUAGAAUUCCUGGUGUAGGGGUGAAAUCUGUAGAUAUCAGGAAGAAUACUGGUGGCGAAGGCGAGCUUCUGGCCAGAUACUGACGCUGAGAUGCGAAAGCGUGGGGAGCGAACAGGAUUAGAUACCCUGGUAGUCC